CCUACGGGUGGCUGCAGUGAGGAAUAUUGGUCAAUGGUCGGGAGACUGAACCAGCCAAGCCGCGUGAGGGAUGAAGGUACAGAGUAUCGUAAACCUCUUUUGUCAGGGAACAAAGGCGGGGACGUGUCCCCGGCUGAGUGUACCUUACGAAAAAGCAUCGGCUAACUCCGUGCCAGCAGCCGCGGUAAUACGGAGGAUGCGAGCGUUAUCCGGAUUUAUUGGGUUUAAAGGGUGCGCAGGCGGUCUGUUAAGUCAGCGGUCAAAGGCCGGGGCUCAACCCCGGCCCGGCCUUUGAACUGGGCAGUCUCGAGUGGGAGAGAAGUAGGCGGAAUGCGCGGUGUAGCGGUGAAAUGCAUAGAGAUCGCGCAGAACUCCGAUUGCGAAGGCAGCAUGCCGGCUCCAAACUGACGCUGAGGCACGAAAGCGUGGGUAUCGAACAGGAUUAGAUACCCGAGUAGUC
rnacentral:rRNA from 1 species